AGAGUUUGAUCCUGGCUCAGAUCGAACGCUGGCGACGUGCUUAACACAUGCAAGUCGUGCGAGAAAGGAGACUUCGGUCUCUGAGUAGAGCGGCGCACGGGUGAGUAACGCGUGGAUGAUCUACCCUUGAGUACGGGAUAACGGUGCGAAAGCGCCGCUAAUACCGAAUAACAAUCCAUUUCAUCAUGGGUUUAAAGCAGGCCUCUGAAUGUAAGCUUGCGCUUGAGGAUGAGUUCGCGUCCCAUUAGCUUGUUGGCGGGUUAACGGCCCACCAAGGCUACGAUGGGUAGCUGGUCUGAGAGGAUGAUCAGCCACACUGGAACUGAAACACGGUCCAGACUCCUACGGGAGGCAGCAGUGGGGAAUAUUGCGCAAUGGGGGAAACCCUGACGCAGCGACGUCGUGUGAGGGAAGAAGGCUUUCGGGUCGUAAACCUCUGUCAGAAGGGAAGAAACGUCAGGAUUCGAAUAGGGUCCUGGCUUGACGGUACCCCUAAAGGAAGCACCGGCUAACUCCGUGCCAGCAGCC
rnacentral:rRNA from 1 species